GAUAAACGCUGGCGGCGUGCCUAAUACAUGCAAGUCGAGCGAAUGGAUUAAGAGCUUGCUCUUAUGAAGUUAGCGGCGGACGGGUGAGUAACACGUGGGUAACCUGCCCAUAAGACUGGGAUAACUCCGGGAAACCGGGGCUAACACCGGAUAACAUUUUGAACCGCAUGGUUCGACAUUGAAAGGCGGCUUCGGCUGUCACCUAUGGAUGGACCCGCGUCGCAUUAGCUAGUUGGUGAGGUAACGGCUCACCAAGGCAACGAUGCGUAGCCGACCUGAGAGGGUGAUCGGCCACACUGGGACUGAGACACGGCCCAGACUCCUACGGGAGGCAGCAGUAGGGAAUCUUCCGCAAUGGACGAAAGUCUGACGGAGCAACGCCGCGUGAGUGAUGAAGGCUUUCGGGUCGUAAAACUCUGUUGUUAGGGAAGAACAAGUGCUAGUUGAAUAAGCUGGCACCUUGACGGUACCUAACCAGAAAGCCACGGCUAACUACGUGCCAGCCGCCGCUGUAA
rnacentral:rRNA from 1 species